AACGAGAUCUUCGGAUCUAGUGGCGCACGGGUGAGUAACGCGUGGGAACCUACCUUUUAGUACGGGACAACGUUUGGAAACGAACGCUAAUACCGUAUACGCCCUCCGGGGGAAAGGUCAGCCGCUAAAAGAGGGGCCCGCGUCUGAUUAGCUUGUUGGUAGGGUAAUGGCCUACCAAGGCUUCGAUCAGUAGCUGGUCUGAGAGGAUGAUCAGCCACACUGGGACUGAGACACGGCCCAGACUCCUACGGGAGGCAGCAGUGGGGAAUAUUGGACAAUGGAGGCAACUCUGAUCCAGCAAUGCCGCGUGUGUGAUGAAGGCCUUAGGGUUGUAAAGCACUUUCAACGGUGAAGAUGAUGACGGUAGCCGUAGAAGAAGCCCCG
rnacentral:rRNA from 1 species